CAUUGGGAGAAGAUUUCAGAGCUGCUCUGUCUUCUUUGGUUGCUAGGACCAGUUUUGGCCCCAAUGGAGUAUAUAUAUCAAUUAGGAACAGCCCAAAUUACAGUAAGUUUGACUGUCCAUGCUUGUCAUGUUGACUUCAGAACAUAGGUCUCCCAGACUAGGGAUAUUAAUGUGUUAUCCUCACUCGACUUUGGUAGUUUUAUCCUCCUAUUUGAGAAGCAAUAAGAAUAACUAGAAAGAGUCACGCGCUUCGCUGCGUGCGUCGUAUUGGCGUUCAAGGUCUAACGUGGACAUU
rnacentral:lncRNA from 1 species